UAGGUCUGUCCUAAGUCAAAACUUCUUUAAGUUUGACCGUGUACAGGAAAUUUUGCUAAUAUCUACAACAUCAAACAUCUAUACUAUGAAAAUAUAUUUUAUGGUUAAGCUAAUGAACUAAUGUGGUGCUGUAAAUGUCUGUAUAGUUUUAUGUAGACUUGGUCAAAAGUUAAAGAAGUUUGACUUAGGACAAACUUUG
rnacentral:pre_miRNA from 1 species